GAGGGUAUAGCUCAGUAUGGUAUGGUAGAGUGCAUGCAUGCACGAGGUCCUGGGUUCAAUCCCCAGUACCUCCA
rnacentral:tRNA from 1 species